GUCGCGAGCCUUGUAGCCAUUUUAGGAGGAAACCUCCCGUGCCGCUGCCUUGGGGAGCGGCUUCAAUUUCAAUAACUUUAUUGGUCUCUCUCUGUACGCCGAGCAGCCGGCGUGCGUGCGGCCCCGCGAUCCCGGAGCGCAUCGCCCGAGGUUGCCCCCGACUCGAGCUGCAGCCAUGGGAAACACCACCAGCGAGCGGGUGUCCGGGGAGCGCCACGGUGCCAAGGCUGCGCGAGCCGAGGGCGGCGGCCAUGGCCCGGGCAAGGAGCACAAGAUCAUGGUGGGGAGCACUGACGACCCCAGCGUCUUCAGCCUGCCCGACUCCAAGCUCCCUGGGGAUAAAGAGUUUGUACCCUGGCAGCAGGACUUGGAUGAUUCUGUGAAGCCCACUCAGCAGGCCCGGCCCACCGUUAUCCGCUGGUCUGAAGGGGGCAAGGAGGUCUUCAUCUCUGGGUCCUUCAACAAUUGGAGCACCAAGAUUCCACUGAUUAAGAGUCAUAAUGACUUUGUUGCCAUCCUGGAUCUUCCAGAGGGAGAGCACCAGUACAAGUUCUUUGUAGACGGACAGUGGGUUCAUGAUCCAUCAGAGCCUGUGGUUACCAGUCAGCUUGGCACAAUUAAUAAUUUGAUCCAUGUCAAGAAAUCUGAUUUUGAAGUAUUUGAUGCUUUAAAGUUAGAUUCCAUGGAAAGCUCUGAGACAUCUUGUCGAGACCUAUCCAGCUCACCCCCAGGGCCUUAUGGUCAAGAGAUGUAUGUGUUUCGAUCUGAGGAGAGAUUCAAAUCCCCACCCAUCCUGCCCCCUCACCUACUCCAAGUUAUUCUUAACAAGGACACUAAUAUUUCAUGUGACCCAGCCUUACUUCCUGAACCCAACCAUGUUAUGCUGAACCAUCUCUAUGCGCUGUCCAUUAAGGACAGUGUGAUGGUCCUUAGCGCAACCCAUCGCUACAAGAAGAAGUAUGUCACCACGCUGCUCUAUAAGCCCAUUUGAAGAGGACAUCACUCGUUGCCUCCAAGGAUUCUGGAGAAGCAUCUCCCUUGCCUUUGAACUGACCCGGUCUCCUCUGAGACUGGAAGGCUGAUUUGUGUUGAGGCUGAUCUGUGUGUUUCAGAGCCUCUGAGUAGGGGGCUCUGCUUUUGCAUUUGAUUGCAGAUGAGAGCUUUAUGAGUUCAUGGAGUUUAUUUUAAGACAACCAAAACCAUAUAUGUGCAUAUGAGGGGAAGGUUACUGGAAACCUCCCAGCCCAGCUGUCUAGGUUCUCUGCCUGUGGGUAGUCGCCAGGGCCUGAGAGGGAGGCUGCGGCCGCAGGAAUGAGUAUACCAGAAGCUUCUUUUCCUAAAGUGAAAGAAUAGCGAACUCCUAGGAUCCUUGUCAGGCAGAGAUCCUGCCACUGCUCCCUGGAGUCAAAGGGUCAGCAGAGUGCCAGGCUGCUGCCCUGCUCCGGCUGCCUCAUUGCAGGGUGGCUUUCCUUGCAUGGAUUGAUUCUCUAUUUCAUGGUGUGACACAGUCUGCUGUGUUUUUAUAUGACACUAGAUGCCCAUCAAGAGCCCUCCUCAUUUUAUGUACCCUGUUUAAUAGUUUCCCUCGGAUCUCACACAUGACCCAGUAAGGUGAGAAAUGCCCUUGCAAAGUUGUGUGUGGGAUUAGACUCACCUUGGAGACUGGAGGUGCCAUGGGCUCAGUGCACUCUACUACAACUUGUUUUAACGUCUGAAGAAAAUCAGUGGCUCAGUAUUCAGAGAAAUGCCCUGUCUUUGUGUUUCAGUCUGGCCCUGUGAAUUGAUUGGCUGUGUGGUACAUGCUAACGGGCUUCCACCGGGCUUGGCCCUGUUUCCCGCUGUUCUUCAUCAGAGCGGGCGGUUUGUCGUGUGGAAUUAGGGAGCCUUCCGUAUCUUUCAUCCCUGAAAGAGCUUUAUGUGCCUGUGUUUGUCUUUAAUUAAGAAAAGAAUGCAUCAGUUUUAGGUGGAGCUAUUAAAGCAGCUCGGGCUUCUGACCGGCUGUUAGGUUCUUCUCCAGUCUAGAGGGUUCCACAGUCUUGCGUUAGCAUGGCCAGCUACUUUUUUACCCAUUAAUUACCCAAGUACUCCUUUAGACCUGAGUUCAUGCAGGCUCAUAGAUGCACAUUCUAGAUUUCCCUUUAAAGAUGUGUGAGGUAAGAAACUACCCCUGCUGUUUCUCACCAUGUACUGUACUGCUCUUUGCACCAAGUAUUAACAAGAUGGGUUUUCUCUUGCCUCUUUUAAAAAUGUUUGACAGUGUAGUGGGUCACUGGUUACCACUGACUAAAAAGUAUUUAACCCACUCAGGAUUCAAGAAAAUAUUUUCUCCAAGUAUUUUGACACUUCCGUUUUACAGAUAAAUGCAAGUCAAGCAUUAAAUGCUGUUUAUGGUUGAGAGACUUCAUGUCUGCUAAGACAAGCCAGCCACAUUGAGAGGGACCUGCAGGUCAGUUUUUAGCUACCUCCUGACUUCCCUACAUUGGCACAGCCAUCCUCUUGAGAUCCUGAGACCUCUCUGAUUACAAGAGUGAAACAGGAAGGUGUGGGGAUGUUUCCCAGAGAAUACAGAUUUAUUAAAUGCCUUGGUAGGUAGUUGGUGGGGUGAGUACUGCUUCUGCCAUCCCAAGCCACUUCCCUCUUUUGUGGAGAACCUUUACUGUGCAAUCAACUUUCUGGAUAGUGUGCCAUUUUGGAAACUAAGGUCUAAUCCUAUCAUAACCUAUUCAGCGGCUCCAGUUCUACUGAAAAGCUGUUGGGUUUUGUUUGGUUUUCCCAGUGCCCAUUUAGCAGUGGGCCAUGGAGGAGGAUUCAGGGUCUCCAUUGUUACACAGUGGCUUCUGUUGUAUCUGCACUUGCUAACAUACGCGAUGGGAUCAUCUGUGUGCUCAUGGGUAAGCUUUUGCUCCACAGGUGUAGCAGUAGAAGAAUAGGGAAGCUGUCUUCAGUCUCGGGCUGAAGCUCUGUGAAUCAGGUGUGGCUGUGGGGACAGAGGGUUUGGGUACUGGUGACCUCCCGAUCCUCCUCAUCUGGAGCGACAGUCCCUAGUUCUCAGGUCAUUCCCAGCCAAACUUGAAAUUCUAGCGGUGUGGAAGGAGUGGGGUGAGGGGGGCUGCCUGGUGACUCCAGCACUGCCUCUGUCCUGCUGAUACCUGGCCCUGGGGAGCUCUGCCACUGUUGCCAGAGAACAGUUGAAGUAGACAGAGGAAGUCACUGCUUUUCUGUUGGUUACUUUAAGGGACAGCUUGUUUUCUACACUAAAAAGGUGGGUAGAAUCUGGAAGUAAGGCAAAACAUUUUAGUCUUUUUAAAAUUUACUUCUUCACCUAUGGGAAUUUUGCAGUCAAGUUGGUAGAGAAAAACAGCCCUUACCUCCUAAGGGCUGCCUCUUAAACACCCGUGGUGGAGAUGAGGGUUGUGAGGAAACGGGAGGGGUGAGUGAACUGAGGAGCGGCACUAGGAAACGGAAGGAUCGAGUAGCUUGGAACUGAAAAACAUCCUCUUUAGAAAAAGACAGUUAAAGCCAGACGUAACCUGGUCCUUGGAUUUCAUUGUCCAGAAGCUUAGCAGCCUGCAAGGUGUCUUCUCUGGGCCCCUACCUGCUCUCUGCCUUUUCUCUGCAUUCCGUUUGACUUCGUUUAUCAGUGAGACAAGUUCACCAAGGUGUCGAGUCGGUCGUUACCUAAGACACCGGUCUGUGACUUCAGCAGUGUGAAGAACUUUCGUAGUAUGGUUAUUAGCUUCCUGUCAGCCUAGACUUGAGUAGGAUUUAGCCACUGUAGGCAACACCCCUGAAGGACACACCUAGCCUCUUAAGUAUGAAGUACAAAAGAAGAAUCCGGGUUUCUGAGAGGAACCUUGACCGCUCCUGUUGGCUUUGGUUUCUUGUAGAUCUAAUGGGUCUUACAUAUGUCUUUUGAAAAGUGUCAGUAUUCCCUGCAUGCUGCUUAAGUGAUGUGGCGUGGGGGGAUGGGGCUUUUAAAACAAUAUGCAAAAGUUCCUGUGUGUGUGAGUGAGUGAGUGUUUCACUCUGUUCUCAGAUACAUUGUGCUCGCCUUCUUGUGAUUUGGGGCAUAAGAGCAGAUAAGUAUUUUGUUCCUAUUAUGACUCAGCCUCAACACCAAGACUCCAGUUACUCACGAACAGGAGACCUGGCAGGAGUAAGGUUCUUGUAGAACUCUACAGGUCUAGGUGUUUGUCUGUCCUUCAAUGACAGUCACAGCUGGAGACUGAAGAACUAACUUCUGCAGUGAACUUAGUGUUUGGGAUAAAAAGCCAAAUCUUUUCAAUUAUAGGAAAGAAGAAAAAAGUUUCAAGUCUGCUGCUUAUAGGACCUGCUCCCUCUGGAGUCUCACCUGGACUUGAUCUCAGCUGUGUCUCUCACUAUUGCUCUGAAGUGAGCAAGCCUCAUUAACAGGAAAAAUACUUGCUAGUUCCAGCAUCAGUUGGAGUUCAUUUGAACUGUGUGUAUCACAACACUUUUGCAUUAAGGCCUUGCAACUACAGGAAUGCAAGGAACUCAAGUAUUUGUUUCCAGCAUUUUCUACAAACUGACUGCAUGUUUAGCUCUUGUUCUGUACUGGAUGAACUUAGAUCUUAAGCCAAUGUUGUCAUCCCUGACUGCUCAUUCUUGUCCCCCAAAAGAGAAUCUAAGCAUAUUGGUGGCUGUCUGCGGCCUCCAACUUAGGUAAGUGGAAAUCUUAGGUGUGGGAUUCACACGUGUGAUUCUAAUAAACGGCUGGGGACCGCUAUCCUGAACUCUCUACUUGCCUACUAGAUCAUGUACUUUGCUGUGAGAAUAGAUCAUAUGCUGUAGUCUGAUAGCACUGCCUCUGAUGUGCUUGUUGAGGGCAAUGUGUAGAAUACAGUGUUUGCUUCUGUCCAUUCAUGGAGUUUACAUGUAUGGGGUCUCUGGAUUUUCUUAAAACAACUGACCCCCCCACAUACACACACACAUACACCCAGCAUUGGCUUCUCUGAUCUACUAAAGUGAACUUUCUUAAGGAGAAAAUGACAAUUGGCUUCUCUGAUCUACUAAAGUGAACUUUCUUAAGGAGAAAAUGACAAUGACCAGCAUGGGAAGAAUGAGGAAGGGACAGCACACAGAUAUGUGAGGAAAACCUACCCUCAAGAGCGUAGAAAACUACACUAAUGAACAUGAACUCAACAGUUAACCACAACACAUACAGUUCAGAGAUGGUCUACAAACUAGACUGCAGGACUCUGCCUCUGAAAGCAUGUUCCAAAUGUCGUGUCCUGGUCACAGGAACUACAUACAUGGUUCAAGGAUGUUGUUAAUUCUUUUUUUGUUCGUUUUUUCAAGACAGGCUUUCUGUAGCUUUGGAGCCUAUCAUGGAACUCAUUCUGUAGACCAGGCUGGCCUCGGACUCACAAGAGAUCUGCCUGCCUCUGCCUCCUGAGUGCUGGGAUUAAAGGUGUGCGCCACCAACGCCCAGCUUUGUUAGUUCUUUUCUUCCAGAGCUGUUCUUUCAUAGUAUUACUUUGGACUGGGGAGAUGGCUUAGCAGGUUAGGGUGCUUGCUACCCUGUUUGGUGACCUAAAUUUGGCCCUCAGAACCUACAUGGUGGACGUGGAAAGCCAACUUCUGUUGCUGUCUUCUGAUCUCAGCAUGCUGUUAUGGCAAUUCUGAGCCUUGUAAAGUUGCAUGUGAGUGUAAGACUGUUUUCUGAUUCUGAAAAGAAAAAGUUGGAAUUUGAUAGGUUGCAUUGAAUCUGUGUAUUACCUUGGAGAGUGUUGGCAUCUUGGCAAUAAUAAAUCUUGUUCAUGAA